rnacentral:lncRNA from 1 species
UUCGAGCAUGAUGGUCGUAACUUUAAAUGUGUGAUGGUCGUAAAUUCAACUAUAGUAUUUUGGAUGAUGGUCGUAACUGACACAAGAUGGUCGUAACUUUGAAAGAUGACCGUAACUCGAGUAUUUAGACAAACUUUUAUUAAUGUAUUUUAAAAGUAAAAGUAAUUUACUCAGAAGUCAUAUAUGAUUUGCUACAAACAAUAUUAUUUGUUACUCUG